rnacentral:lncRNA from 1 species
CCGCUGCCGUUUUAUCCUCCGUCCGACUCUCCCUUAUUUUCAUUCUUCCAUAAACAUCAACCCCAAACAGUCCCUUAUCAUUCCCCUCCAACCGUCGUCGUCUUUUUCCACCCGAAAUCUCGUCGCCUAUCCUCCCAUCUCCACGCGUCGCCUCUUCUUCUCUUCCACUGCUCUCUUGUACGAGCCCGCAAACGAUGUCUUUGCGGUCCAAAACGAAAUAGGCGAUUUUGACGGGGGUAGAAAAGUUGCAUGGAAGAAAAAAAAAAAUAAAAUGUAAUGAAAUGUAAUUUAACGAGGCUCAGAGCCUAAUUGGAAGUUGCCAACUCUCGCUGUGAAAGAGAAGAAAUAAUUGGCAUCGUAUGCACAUGGCUUUGGGAAAAUCUUAAGUCUCAACAGUUGGGAAAGUCUGGAGU